rnacentral:rRNA from 1 species
GUGAGGAAUAUUGGUCAAUGGGCGAUGGCCUGAACCAGCCAAGUAGCGUGAAGGAUGACUGCCCUAUGGGUUGUAAACUUCUUUUAUAAAGGAAUAAAGUCGGGUAUGCAUACCCGUUUGCAUGUACUUUAUGAAUAAGGAUCGGCUAACUCCGUGCCAGCAGCCGCGGUAAUACAGAGGAUCCGAGCGUUAUCCGGAUUUAUUGGGUUUAAAGGGAGCGUAGAUGGAUGUUUAAGUCAGUUGUGAAAGUUUGCGGCUCAACCGUAAAAUUGCAGUUGAUACUGGAUGUCUUGAGUGCAGUUGAGGCAGGCGGAAUUCGUGGUGUAGCGGUGAAAUGCUUAGAUAUCACGAAGAACUCCGAUUGCGAAGGCAGCCUGCUAAGCUGCAACUGACAUUGAGGCUCGAAAGUGUGGGUAUCAAACAGGAUUAGAUACCCUGGUAGUCC